GACGAACGCUGGCGGCGUGCUUAACACAUGCAAGUCGAACGGAAAGGCCCUGCUUUUGUGGGGUGCUCGAGUGGCGAACGGGUGAGUAACACGUGAGUAACCUGCCCUUGACUUUGGGAUAACUUCAGGAAACUGGGGCUAAUACCGGAUAGGAGCUCCUGCUGCAUGGUGGGGGUUGGAAAGUUUCGGCGGUUGGGGAUGGACUCGCGGCUUAUCAGCUUGUUGGUGGGGUAGUGGCUUACCAAGGCUUUGACGGGUAGCCGGCCUGAGAGAGUGACCGGCCAAAAUGGGACUGAGAUACGGCCCAGACUACUACGGGAAGCAGCAGUGGGGAAUGUUGCACAAUGGGCGGAAGACUGAUGCAGCAACGCCGCGUGCGGGAUGACGGCCUUCGGGUUGUAAACCGAUUUCGACUGUGACGAAGCGUGAGUGACGGUAAUGGGUAAAGAAGCACCGGCUAACUACGUG
rnacentral:rRNA from 1 species